rnacentral:lncRNA from 1 species
GUCAUCAAAAAAAUUCUGGACCCGCCACUGCUCACCACACCAUUUUCCCUUCGUUAUCUUCAUGGAGACGACCACAAUCUCUUCAAACGGAGAAAGCGAGGUAAAAGAUGAGAUUCAAGGCUUGAUUACAAGCUUUCCUAGUGAGAGAAACUGGGAUGGAUCUCCCCUUAAUUUAUUUCUAUAAAGGGGUCUGGUAUCCAGUUUUCGCCAUUAGAGGGGCUCUUUCCUUUCGACAACAUUUCAUUGCACAGGACACAGAUAUAAUACUAGCGAGCAUGCCAAAAUCAGGCACCACCUGGCUAAAAGCUCUCACGUUCUCUGUGGUAAACCGCAACAUUUACAGUCCCAAAGAGAGUCCCUUACUCCCUACCCCACCCCAUGAACUCGUUCGUUUCUUUGAGAUAGACCUUUACUAAAAAAAACAGCUCCCAGAUCUCAAACAACUUCCUUCCCCAAGGAUUGGCAGUUCUCACUCCCAUUAUGAAACCUUGCCACAGUCCAUUAGAGAUUCUGGUUGCAAGAUUGUUUACAUAUGCAGGAAUCCUUUGGAUCAACUUGUCUCUUAUUUUCAUUUUGCUCGCAUGCAAGUUCAAACAAGAGAAUGUCAAGCCUUUAUCAUCGAUUGAUGAAGGUUUCGACAACGUUUGUCUUGGUAUCCUGAGUCAUGGACCCUUUUGGGAUAAUGUGUUGGGGUAUUGGAAGGCAAGCUUAGAGAGACCAGACAAGGUGUUGUUUUUAAAAUAUGAAGACUUGAAGGAGGAUAUAAUCUCUAACUUGAAGAAAAUCGCUGCGUUCUUGGGAAUUCCUUUCACCGACAAAGAAGAAAAGGAAGGGGUUAUUGAAGAAAUAUCAAGGCUGUGCAGCUUAGACAAUCUCAGGAAUUUGGAAGUGAACAAAAAUGGUGUUCGUACUUCUGGGCUUCCAAACAGUUCCUUCUUCAGGAAAGGAGAGGUGGGUGAUUGGGAAAAUUAUCUGAUUCCUUCCAUGGCUGAGAAUUACCUGAAGAUCGUGGAAGAGAAGUUGAGUGGAUCUGGUUUAACCUUCAGAACAUCUCAAUAAAGUGCAAAUCUAUGGGAUGCGUUCUCAAUAAUUCCCUAGUGUUUUUGUGAGCGUGGAUAUCUAUUAUUGUUCAGUUUUUUACGAGGUUUUUUCUAAUAAUAACAAAAAAGGCUUUGUUUUUAUUAUCACUCCCGACCAGAAGUUUCUAGUAAGAAGAUGAUAAAAGAUUGGUCUUUGCUGUGUCUCUUUUGUUCUUGUACUAAGGAAAAUCUUGAAGGAUAUUUUGGUGUUUGUGUAUUUUUAACAGAGCAGGUACAAAAAAAGGCGGGAGAUAAAAGUUGCUUCACCAGAAAGUUGCCUCAUUUAUUGGCGGGUCCCUCGAACGACUCUUAAUCCAAUAACGGAUAGGUACAUGUUCCCAUAAACCACUCCAGUGUCCUAAAAACAGUCUUCUAGUCCCUGUAAUUUUAUAAGAAGCUGUUUCAGUACUUCUUUUUAAUACAUUUAUAAUUAAGUCCUGGAAUUGUAAGUUCUUUUUAUCCUUAUGGUGAUUUGUUUUUAAGUUUAAUCUUUGUACCUGGAAAUUUCAUAAAAUAAUUCAUAGGCAUGAAAUCUAUAUUAGGUUGUUUUGAUGAUAAAAAUAAAUUUUAAAAAAUUAAAAAAUUAAGAUCUAUUAUUGUUGUAUCUCAAUAAAGUGCAACGUUCUCCUUAAUUCCCUUGUGUUUUUGUGAGCGUGGAUAUCUAUUAUUGUUCAGUGAACCCUCCUUGUUGCUUUCUUAACUAAAAAUUAAGAUCUUGGAUCUCCAAACUUCAUGGCAUCUGACAUGGAUGCUAAUUAAACCUUCAUUGUUUUGUUUAAUUUUUAUUCCAAUGUCACUUUUUAUAAGGUUUUUCCUAAUAAUAACAAAAAAGACUUUGUUUUUUUUUUUUCACUCCCGACCACAAGUUUCCAGUAAGAAGAUGAUAAAAGAUCACAGGUGCCAGCAAUGUUUAUGACAUCUAAGUCAAGCUCGGUCACCCCCGACUAGAUAAAGAUUGCAGCGUAGUCCAAUUCGGUCUAAGGUUUUCACUUCAUCAAUUAUCAAAAUAUUUUUUUUCAUAAUAAUACGUUUUGAAUUUUUAAGUUGGUUAAUUGAUUGAGUAACGAUGAAUAGAUCAAUUAGUAUAUUAAGAACAAAAAGAUGAGGAGGGACGAAGAGAGAAGAAGAAGAAGAAGAAGACGAAGGUGGUGGCAAUACUAGCUAUCAACAUAGAAGAAAAAUAAAACGCAGCGUUUCCUAGCUCUUCAUUAAUCAAAACGCUGUGUUUUAAGUCCAAAGCACCCAACGGUCUGAUCAUUUGAAUCCUUCUGCCCUAACUCCCCCUCCUUCUCCAUCUCACUGAAAUUCAUCUGUAACAAUGCCUCCCCACUAUCAACUCCCUUGUACUCAAGCGUAAAAUGUGGGAACCUCCGAUAAAGGUCCUCCAAAAACUCCCAUGUAACCUCUGAAGAAGACGACCCUUUCCACAAUACCAGCACUUAAAUAGCUGCUUUGAGAAUACAUUGUGAAGGAUCUCUGUUAUAAAAGUAAAACACAAAACAUGAUUUGUGAUUUUAUAGUAUUUGAAGCACCAUCUAUGGUUUCGGGUAUAUUUACUAAUCGGAGAGUCGUGAUUCAAUAUGAGACCUUGUUUCAAUAUGCUGCACAAAUUUCGAAUCAAAUUUUUAUGUAUCUCGACUAAUCUUAUAGAUCCUGAAAUCAAUAACUAUGUAUAGCUUUCAGUGAUCUGAGAAAACUCAAACUUAUAAUAAUUAAAAAAUAAAUUCAAAACAUGACAAAUUGAGUUAUCUCUUAGGAUUAACUAACCUUCUAUUUUGAUUUGAUGUAUAAGAUUACUAUUUUACAGCACCAUCAAUGGAUGCCAUCACAUUAAGUAUCAUGGCAUAGCUUGCAAUUCAAUUCAGAAUUAGCUAGGAUUGAAUAAAAAAGAGAGAGAGAGAGAGUUGACUCGAUAAGAUUCUAUUGUGAUGAGGUAGGUGAACGUACAAUUAAUUAGUCCAAUCAAGAUUUUUAAAAUAAUAAGAGCAUUGAAUUCAAUAACUUUGUUCUCAAUAAUGAAUACAUGCACCGUGGAGCAUAUAAUAUAAUAGCGCAAUGUUGAGGCACGAGGCCGAGGGAAUCGUGGGGCGGGUCGCUCCAAUAUUAAGUGACGAAGACCCUCUCUAUUAUAUCUACAAUUGAUUAACUAAUUAAAAACAUGAUCAUUCAUCUAACAGACACGUGACAAUAUACGUAUAUUAAUUGAUCUCCUUUAUUUACUAAAUUAAAUAUCCUGCACUUGCGGGAAUGCCUGGUUGGUGGAGAUUAGAUGGAUGAUUCCUGUCUCAAUAAUAUUGUUUCUUGUUUAUCUUAGUUAGGAUCUUGGUUAUUGUCUUCUUGUUUUAAACUUGCAUAAUGACAAAUUAAGAGAGGGACACUUUUAUCAUCAUAUUAUAGUCAGCAAAGACGUAUCUCCCAAACACUGUCUAAAUAUUAAAUUAAUGUUUUCCAAUCACCUAACCAAGAAUCAAUUUCAAGAUACGAUGCUUGAAUGGCAGUCACAAUUCAGCUAAAUCACAUGUUCUGUGAUAAUUAAUUGAAGUGAAUUUUGUAGCUUUGUGGAAACUUAUCUAGGUAAAUAUAUAUUGUCUCAUGGACAGUUUCCAGCACCAAUCACAUGUUACUCACAAUAAAAACAAUUUAUAUAUAGGUUUGCUUUUACAUGUUUUUGUAGUUAAAAAAAUUAUAAGUGAAAAUCAAAAAAAUUAUGCGUACUUGUAACCAAAUAAAUUGAAAACCAUGCGUGUUAAUAAAUAAAUAAAAACUAUAAAAGAUAAGUUAAAAAUAAAACUGAAAAAAUUAAAUGCAUAAUAAAAAAAUAAACAUUAAUUAAAAGAGGCUAUAUUAACAAAAUAAAAGAUAAAAUGAGGUAUUAAUCUAGAUAUAAAAAAAACAUAUAAAAUGAGCAUUAGCUUUUUUAAAAAGAAAAUAAAAAUAAAAAGCAAAAAACAGGUGGUGCUAAGCGACUAUAUGUGUGUGUGUGUAUUAAUUAAUUAAAAUCCUAGUGUAUUAUGAAAAAUAUAUGUGUGUUGAAGAGUGUUGAAUAUCUAUCAAUAAGAGCCUGGGAUGUUAAAUAUUUGUGAGCUUAAUUUUCUAACAAAAGAAAAAAGAAAAAAAGGAAUAUUUAAGAAUUGCAACACAUUUUUUAGCAUAGAGAAGAAUUGUAACUGUGAACUAAAAAGUUGAUCAUUGGUAUGUGAAGAAUGCUGAAUAUUAAUUAAUAAAAACUUGUGAGGUUAAAUAUUAUGUACGUACUACGUAGUGUUUUAACAAUAACAAAAAAGAAAAAGAAAAGAAAAGAAUGUUGAAGUAUUUUCAACAAAAUUUUUAAUUGUGACUUCCUUCCUUUUCUCAACAGGCUAUAAAAGGUUUUUGCCUUUUAAUGUAAAAAAUACUUUUUUUUUAUUAUUAUUAUUUUAAUGAGUGAUAAGUAGACAUGUACAAGUACACUGAUUCGGCUACAUAAAUGCAUGGAGAGCUCGAUUUAGUGGCACUGGGCUCUUUUGUACCAUCCCCUGCUCACCGCACCAUUUCUCCUUCGUUAUCUUCAUGGAGACGACCACAAUCCCUUCAAACGGAGAAAGCGAGGUAAAAAAUGAGAUUCAAGGCUUGGUUGCAAGCUUUCCUAGUGAGAAAAACUGGGAUGGAGCUCCCCUUUAUUUCUAUAAAGGGGUCUGGUAUCCAGUUUUCGCCAUUAGAGGGGCUCUUUCCUUUCAACAACAUUUCAUUGCACAGGACACAGAUAUAAUACUAGCGAGCAUGCCAAAAUCAGGCACCACCUGGUUAAAAGCUCUCACGUUCUCUGUUGUAAACCGCAACAUUUACAGUCCCAAAGAGAGUCCCUUACUCACUACCCCACCUCAUGAACUCGUUCGUUUC